rnacentral:rRNA from 1 species
GAUUGAAUGGCUCAGUGAGGCGUUCGGACUGGCUCGGGGAGGUUGGCAACGACCACCCCAAGCCGGAAAGUUCGUCAAACUCGGUCAUUUAGAGGAAGUAAAAGUCGUAACAAGGUCUCCGUAGGUGAACCUGCGGAGGGAUCAUUA